GACCCGUUCGUCUACCGGCCGAGGACGCCGGUUUUUCACACCGGAGGACGGGGUUCGACUCCCCGACGGGUUA
rnacentral:tRNA from 1 species